UAACUUACCUUGUGCCGUGUUCUCGGUGAUCACGCAGGCCAGAGUACAGCAUGUGCGGCCCCCCAUUGCACCGCGGUGGGUGGCAUGUUUGAGCUCAUCAGCAUACCACUGUUGAGCUCGGGCACGGAAUUUGUUUACAUCGGAGGAAGAGCGUCCGAGCUCACCUCCG
rnacentral:snRNA from 18 species